rnacentral:rRNA from 1 species
UAGGGAAUCUUCGGCAAUGGACGAAAGUCCGACCGAGCAACGCCGCGUGAGUGAAGAAGGUUUUCGGAUCGUAAACUCUGUUGGUAGAGAAGAACGUUGGUGAGAGUGGAAAGCUCAUCAAGUGACGGUAACUACCCAGAAAGGGACGGCUAACUACGUGCCAG